rnacentral:lncRNA from 12 species
GUGAUGCUGUUACUGGUGAUACUGGUGCUGGUGGAUGCUGUUACUGGUGAUACUGGGACUGGUGGAGGCUGUUACUGGGAAUUACUGGUCUGUGGUGAUGCUGUAACUGGUGCGUACUGGUGCCAGUGGAUGCUGUUACGGGGGGAUACUGGAACAAGGAGAUGCUGUUACUGGUGAUACUGGUGCCAGUGGAUGCUGUUACUGGUGAUACUGGUGUGGUGACACUUACUGGGCGUUACUGGUGUGUGCUGAGACUCUUGCUGGGGAUACUGGUGCUGGGAAGGCUGUAACUGGGAAUACUGGUAUCGGUGGAUGCCGUUACUGGGGAUACUGGGAUUGGGGGAGGCUGUUACUGGGGAUACUGGGAUGGGGGGAGGCUGUUACUGGGGAUACUGGGACUGUGGGUGGUUGUUACUGGGGGAUACCGGUUUGUGCUGAUGCCGUUACUGGGCAUACUGGUACCGUUGGAUGCUGUAACUGGGAGUUACUGGGACCAGUGCAUGCUGUUACUGGGGGUUACUGGGACACGGGCACGGUGUUACUGGGAGUUACUGGUACUGGUGGAUGCUGUUACUGGAGUUACUGGUAUCAGUGCAUGCUGUUACUGGGGAUACUGGGAGCAGAGGAUGCUGUUACUGGGAGUUACUGGGACCAGGGCACGCUGUUACUGGUGCUGAUGGAUGCUGUAACUGGGAGUUACUGGAAUCCGUGCAUGCUGUAGCUGGGUGUUACUGGGAGUCACUGGGAGUUACUGGGAGUCACUGGGAGUUACUGGGAGUUACUGGGAGUCACUGAGAGUUACUGGGAGUCACUGGGAGUCACUGGGAGUUACUGGGAGUUACUGGGAGUUACUGGGAGCACUGGGAGCACUGGGAGUUACUGGGAGUCACUGGGAGUUACUGGGAGUUACUGGGAGUUACUGGGAGCACUGGGAGCACUGGGAGUUACUGGGAGUCACUGGGAGUUACUGGGAGUUACUGGGAGCACUGGGAGUUACUGGGAGUCACUGGGAGUUACUGGGAGCACUGGGAGUUACUGGGAGUCACUGGGAGUUACUGGGAGUUACUGGGAGUUACUGGUGUGUGCUGGUGCCGGGACACCAGGUCUACCCAUUCCGUUGGUCCUGGGGGGGUUUUUGGGGGUCCUGGGGGGUUUUUGGGGGUCCCCCCCCCCCCCCCCCCCCCCCCCCCCCCCCCCCCCCCCCCCCCCCCCCCCCCCCCCCCCCCCCCCCCCCCCCCCCCCCCCCCCCCCCC